GAUUUCUCCCGCAACAUAAAAAAAAUCCCUAAAUCCCAAAUUUCAUCAUCUUCAAUGCAUAAACCCUAGACAUUCUGAUGUUUCUACUGGUUUUGUUUUGGGACGAAGAAAUGAGGUUAGGGAUCAUGUAUGUAGGGCUUCUGCUGAUGGAAGACAAAAAGAAAGUCAUCUAAUAGGAAAAGCUGGAGGAAUCCAACAGGUUUAAGGAUGAUGAAAGAGUACCUUGGCUUCUGAAGUUGCAUUCAUCAGUGGAUGGUGCUGGUCCUCCUUCGACGUGUUGUACCGCUCAAUUAUAGAUUUCAUGCUGUAGUAGCAAAACAGAGCUCCUCCAUUUGAAGUCAGGUGUACAUAUGUACCUUAUCAUUAAACAAUUCUACUCUGUCAUUGGUCGAAACCCUGUACGCUGCGACUUUUCUGAGUGCUGGACGAAUGAGAAGGCACGUACGGACACGUCGUAUGCGCCGUUGAAGGUGGAACUCCUCGCUGGAAAACAGUCACUUUGUAGUUACACAAAAUGAUAGUAAUGUAUUAGUGAUUAUUCUUAACGUUUCUAUAACCGAAGGAGCAAGAAAACAUUGUUGAGGUUUUUAUAUAGUGAGUUCUGGAGGUUAUGGAGAGUAAAGCAAAAGCUUAACAGGUACAUGUACCCUGUACCAUAUGUGUCUUAAUUAUAUUUAAAGCUAAGCUUCCAAUUUCUUGCUAAUUUGUAUUUAUCAGUGCAUGAAGUGGGUUAAUUGUAUGGCAAAAAUGAUAGUAAUGUAUUAGUGAUUAUUCUUAAUGUUUCUAUAACCGAAGGAGCAAGAAAACAUUGUUGAGGUUUUUAUAUAGUGAGUUCUGGAGGUUAUGGAGAGUAAAGCAAAAGCUUAACAGGUACAUGUACCCUGUACCAUAUGUGUCUUAAUUAUAUUUAAAGCUAAGCUUCCAAUUUCUUGCUAA